rnacentral:rRNA from 1 species
AUGUACAUGGAGGAGGGCUUGGAAGAGUACGUCAACGUGACGGAGAGCGCCAUCUUCGGCGCCUCGCUGACACCGCCUGCGCUGCCCCUUUUCAACGGUCCUCCUCCGAGCUGGGUCCUCCUCGACGUCUCCGCCUACAUAGCCGCCGGCACCACCGCCGCCGCCGGCACCAGGGGAGGCCAUGCCAUAGAGGUCACCAUGAUCGCCGCCCGCCCGCCGCUGGUCUCCCACAUCCGCGUCAACUGCCCCGGCCUCAAGCCCACACGCUUCGCCAUCGAGCCCAGGAUCUUCGCCGCCGCGGAUGGCCUCUUCUUGCUCGGCGUCGCCAUCGGCCACCGGUCCCUGUGCACCCAGCCGGACAUGUUCGACUACUUCGUCUACCAGCCCGCCGCGCGCUCGCUCACGUCUCUCCCGCGCCCACAUGGCCGCUUCGGUCUCAGGGACGUCGCCCUCCUGCGCUGCAGCCCGAACAGCUCCUCCUACAUCAUUGCGUUCCUCGAGGGUACACGGGGACGGGGCAUGGCGUAUGAGCUCCACCGCUUCCACUCCGAGACCAACACCUGGACCAAGAGCAAGCUGGAGCUUGGUGCCACUGCCAUGAACCCUGCCAUGGACUCCGUCUUCUUCUCCACUAGCAAGGUGUUCACUCUCGGCGGUGGUUUCGUGGGCUGGGCCGACCUCUGGCGCGGCGUCCUGCUCUGCGACGUGCUCCUCGACCCGGAGCUCCGCUACGUCCCCUUGCCGCAUGCCUUCGGUGAGCGCAAGUGGGACGCCGUCAUAACCAGGGACAUCGCCGUUGUCGACCAAGGUUGCAUCAAGUACGUCGACAAGCGGUCUGACGAGCACACUGGUGGUGGCUGGACACUCACCGCAUGGAGCAAGAAGAUCAACAGCAAGCCGUGGAAGGAGGAACAAUGGCGCCAGGACUGCGAGUUGAGAUCUUCUGAUGUCUCUGUCCUUUUGCCGCCACUGCCGAGGCCAUUCCAUGAGCUCAUGACAGGCCACCCCGUCAUAAGCUUGCGGGGCGACGACGUCGUCUACUUGAUGAGCAAAGAGAGCCUCAGGGACGACACGGCGUGGGUGGUCGCCGUCGACAUGAGCAGCAAGUCGUUGCAGGAAGUGGUUGAGUUUGGCGGUUCCCGGAGAUCAAUAGGCAUAAGCCGCACCUAUAUACAGAGCAGGAUCGACCUCUGGUCAUCCGAAGAUCACCCCAGUCGUUUUAGAACAUUUUGGAAGACAUCUGAAUGGUGGUGUAAUUGA